rnacentral:rRNA from 1 species
AUUGAACGCUGGCGGCAUGCUUUACACAUGCAAGUCGAACGGCAGCGCGGGCUUCGGCCUGGCGGCGAGUGGCGAACGGGUGAGUAAUACAUCGGAACGUGCCCAGUAGUGGGGGAUAGCUCGGCGAAAGCCGGAUUAAUACCGCAUACGACCUGAGGGUGAAAGCGGGGGAUCUUCGGACCUCGCGCUAUUGGAGCGGCCGAUGGCAGAUUAGCUAGUUGGUGGGGUAAAGGCCUACCAAGGCGACGAUCUGUAGCUGGUCUGAGAGGACGACCAGCCACACUGGGACUGAGACACGGCCCAGACUCCUACGGGAGGCAGCAGUGGGGAAUUAUGGACAAUGGGCGAAAGCCUGAUCCAGCAAUGCCGCGUGUGUGAUGAAGGCCUUCGGGUUGUAAAGCACUUUUGGCGGGAACGAAAAGGACUGUGCCAAUACCACGGUUCGAUGACGGUACCCGCAGAAUAAGCACCGGCUAACUACGUG